AGUGAACGCUGGCGGUAGGCCUAACACAUGCAAGUCGAACGGCAGCACAGUAAGAGCUUGCUCUUACGGGUGGCGAGUGGCGGACGGGUGAGGAAUACAUCGGAAUCUACUUUUUCGUGGGGGAUAACGUAGGGAAACUUACGCUAAUACCGCAUACGACCUACGGGUGAAAGCAGGGGAUCUUCGGACCUUGCGCGAUUGAAUGAGCCGAUGUCGGAUUAGCUAGUUGGCGGGGUAAAGGCCCACCAAGGCGACGAUCCGUAGCUGGUCUGAGAGGAUGAUCAGCCACACUGGAACUGAGACACGGUCCAGACUCCUACGGGAGGCAGCAGUGGGGAAUAUUGGACAAGGGGCGCAAGCCUGAUCCAGCCAUACCGCGUGGGUGAAGAAGGCCUUCGGGUUGUAAAGCCCUUUUGUUGGGAAAGUAAAGCAGCAGGUUAAUACCCCGCUGUUCUGACGGUACCCAAAGAAUAAGCACCGGCUAACUUCGUG
rnacentral:rRNA from 1 species